UCGAACGGCAGCGCGGACUUCGGUCUGGCGGCGAGUGGCGAACGGGUGAGUAAUACAUCGGAACGUACCCUGUUGUGGGGGAUAACUAGUCGAAAGAUUAGCUAAUACCGCAUACGACCUGAGGGUGAAAGCGGGGGACCGAAAGGCCUCGCGCAGCAGGAGCGGCCGAUGUCUGAUUAGCUAGUUGGUGGGGUAAAGGCCCACCAAGGCGACGAUCAGUAGCUGGUCUGAGAGGACGAUCAGCCACACUGGGACUGAGACACGGCCCAGACUCCUACGGGAGGCAGCAGUGGGGAAUUUUGGACAAUGGGGGCAACCCUGAUCCAGCAAUGCCGCGUGUGUGAAGAAGGCCUUCGGGUUGUAAAGCACUUUUGUCCGGAAAGAAAUUGCUCUGGCUAAUACCUGGGGUAGAUGACGGUACCGGAAGAAUAAGCACCGGCUAACUACGUGCC
rnacentral:rRNA from 1 species